GGAGUGACUCUGACCUGUAGCUGUGAUGGUCACCCAGCACCUGAGUAUACCUGGUAUAAGCAGAAUGCCAGAAAAGCUCUCAGUAAAACGUCAGAGCUCAUCUUCACUUCCAUUCAGUCCUCUGACUCUGGAUACUACAGCUGUGGAGCAAAAAAUGAGCUGGGGGAGAGGACGUCUCAGUACGCUCAUGUGGAUGUGAAAUAUGCUCCAAAGCCUCCCUCUGUGUCAGUGAGUCCCUCUGCUGAGAUUAAGGAGGGCGGCUCAGUGACUCUGACCUGCAGCAGUGAUGCUAACCCAGCAGCCACUUAUGCCUGGUACAAAACACCAUAUUCACAACCUCUCAGCACUAAAAACAGACUUUACUUCAGAUCCAUCAAGGCCUCUGACUCUGGGGAGUAUUACUGUACAGCUAAGAACGGCCUGGGGCAGCAAUCUGGAUCUGUUACUGUUAAUGUGAAGUAUGCUCCAACAUCUUGUUCAGUGUUGCUGAGUCCCACUGGUGAAAUCAGGGAGAACAGUGGAGUGACUCUGACCUGUAGCUGUGAUGGUCACCCAGCACCUGAGUAUACCUGGUAUAA